rnacentral:tRNA from 1 species
GGGCCGUUAGCUCAGGUGGUAGAGCACCUGCCUUUUAAGCAGGGAGUCGAUGGUUCGAGUCCAUCACGGCCCA